rnacentral:lncRNA from 13 species
AGGUGAUAAUCGCAUUGUUCGCCUUGUCGAUAACAGAGAAGUCGGUUCGUGAAAGAUUAAUGGAACUAUAACAACACUUUCGUCAAACGAAUUAAAAGCUGAAAAGGAAAAUAGGUCUUAUAAUGAGAGAGACAAAACCGCAAAGUCUACAUUAAAUUACGACGACGAGGAACUUCUAAUAUUAUUAGUUCAAGAACGAAGGCCCCUGUGAGAUUUUACCGUUCCAUUAGAACAGCGAUGUCAACGCAUAACAAAAAAACUUUGGGAUAAAGUGUCAGAAACAUUGGGAGGUAAACUUAGUGGGGAAGAAGCAAAAAGAAAAUUUAAAAAUUUACAUGACGCCUAUAGAUGAAUAAUAAAUACUGAAAAUCGCCCUAAUGGGUCGGCUAGACCUCUCCCUACAAAGAAAUGGCACCACUAUGAAUCCGUGGAGUUUCUGCGUGACUUAUACCUUGUUAAAAAGGGAAAAGUUUCUAAUAUUGACGCUAUUGAUGUCGAUGACUCUGCGAGUAAUAUUGGCUAAUCAAUAAAUGAUGAUGCAACUUGUGAUGGCCAAUCAGAGGCAUCAGGUGCGACAACUAAAAGGAAGAAGACUUCGGGACAGCAGUCCGGUGCAUUAGAUAGAAUUGCCGAUUCACUCUGUCGACCAUCAACUCCAAUUGUAUUACCAUCAGCACCCAAAUGUGAUGAAAUUGAUUCGUUAUUAGCAGUAAUUGGAUGGAGGUUGAGACAAAUGAAUCCAACACAACAAUUACAUGUCAUUCAGGAAAUGAUAAACCUAACUUUUAAUGUACUCACAAAAAAUUAAGUUUUAUUAUUUUUUUAAAAACAUCUGUGACAUUUUUAUAAUAAAGUUUAAA